AGCCCGGUCGUCUAGUGGCCAAGGAUUUCAGGCUCUGGACCUGGAGACAGCAGUUCGAAUCUGCUCCGGGCUACCA
rnacentral:tRNA from 3 species